UUUCUUGUAUUUCUUAUUUUUAAUUUUUUGCGGAGUGAACCUAAUAUGUUUGCCUUUAUUGUUUGUUUUUGCUAGAAAACUAAGAAUGCUCCAAAGGUGGAAGUCGGAACUGGGACUACUGAUGCCUCAUUGGAUGAAUGGCUUCAGGUUAUGCAUCGUCAUUUACUUCCCAUAAUUUUCUAGUGCAGUUAUUGUUCUCUUUUUUCUUUUCGGUCUGUUCACCCUCUACUACUCGUAUUAUGGACCUCUGUCUUAAAUAAGUUAAAUAACAAUCUUAGUAGGGUUUAGCUGAAAAUUUCCUGAUUUGGAUGUCUUAAUUUUCAGGGAACUGCUUACACUCAGUCAGCUUCCAAAUCAAAGAAAAAGAAGUAGAUGGGGCAGUGUUUCUGAAGUUAGGCUAUUGCAACACAUGCUAGGCAUUUGGAAAAUUUCAAAGUGAAGGCACAAGUAGUUUGAGAAUUAGGCCAGGAAAAGGCAUACCUUGCUGUUGUAGCAUGUGAAAUUAAGCCUUUUUGAAGCAAAAAGGUAAGAAGCAGAAGGUUCAAUUUUAUUUGAGGAAAAUUUCCGGAUAACAUUAUAUUUUCUUGCCCCCAACCCACCAACAUUUGCUUCUUGUUUUCUAGGUUGUGGUAGAUAAAAAUUCUUGCUCAUGGAUUCCGGGUUUUGCUUGAUUGGUCUAUACAAUUUCUCUCUCAAAAGAUUCCAAAGUCUAAUGGUUGUUGGUCGAUGUUUCUUGGACGGGAACGAUAGUCAAACCGUUAAGAUCAUCAGUUUUUGGUUUGAUUUGUUCGUUCAGUUCAAAGUAAACAAAUUUAUUACAAAUUUUAAAAAAAAUAUAAAAUCUAGUUUAAUAGCUUUGUACUAAUUCGUGGGUCAAUUUUUUGUUAGAUCAGUCCAAAUAACAUUGUUGUUUGUAGUAUCAUCCUUUAUUUUUAAACAUGAUGGAGCAUAAAGGUUGGGACUUUUAAUUUUGUUGAAGACUAAUCGUAUUUUUAAUGAUGAAUGAUCUCGUCGUAUUAUUCUUACAAUUUUGUUUACAAAAAAUGUUAUUUUUAAUUUACUCGAAUAAUAUUUUUAAUAAAAUUUUAAAUAUAGAUAUUUAAAAAAGAUGUGAGGAAUAAUAUCAACUUGCGGAUAUGCUAAAAUCAUCCAUCGUCGCAAAAUCUUGUUUUAGGCUUAAAAUGAAAGUCGUCCAAGAUGGGUCCAACUUCGACCACUAAUUUAAAGUACCCAAGUGUAUGACUAUAUAAAAUUCAAUUGUAGGUGAUGAGAUAUUACCUAAAUUUGGGGCAUUAAAACCCUCCACAUCUUUGAAUGUGACUAUUAAUCCAAAAAAUGUGCUAUGAGGUUAUCACUUGUCUAAAACAUUGCUUCAAUACCCUUUGCCCCACUCACAUAAUUUACAAUUUUGCUUUGUUAUCAUUUGUGGUUUGUGAAUUUAUAUCAUUCACAAUUCAUCUCACCAAACAUUAGGGUGCAUAAUAAAUCAUAAUAGUCCCUAAUUUGCUCAAAUUCAGUAGUCUUUUGACCCCACGUUUAUUAUGCGACUUGUACCUAUAUUUUCAACAUUAAUUCUUUUCAAGAUUUUAUCAACAGCUUUAUGCUUUUUUUAUAAAAAGAAAAAUUAAUUUCUUUGAUGUGAUCAUGUUUGUUGAUUUAAGUAUACUAUUAUCUUACAAACAGUCCUUUUAUCAGAUAAAGACCUAUAAUUAUCUGAAAAAUAACUAUCGAAAUUCAUGAUCAAAAAACAAAUGUCGAAAUCUAUUAUCUUUUCAAGGCAUCAUUAAGUACUAGUUUUAACUCGUGUGUUGCACGUGAAGAAUAUAAUAGUAUAUGUUUUAAAUAAUAUCAAUGCAAUAAAAAUACUAUUAUUAACAAUAUUUUGUGAAAUAAAGUAAUUUAUAUAAUUUAUAAAUUCAUGAAUCAAUUCAUAUUAAAAUAAUUCUAUUUUUAUUUAAUUUAAAAUUUUAUAUAUUAUUAAAAAAUUAUAUAAUAAAGAUAAUAAUAUAAGCAAAUAUAAUUUAAUUAAUGUUUAUGAUUUCAUAAUGUAUUAGGCAAUUAAAAUAGGUAAUGUGAAUAAUAAUGAGUAAAUUUUGCUUAAUUAUUAAAUAUAUAAUAAAUAACUAAAAUACAAUCGGUGUAAAAAAAAACAUAAUAAUUUUUUUAACCUUCCAACUUUACAAAGAAAGUCAUUUUAACCUUUCAUUUAAUAUUGUCUUUUUUAGCUUUUAAACUUGCAUUUUUUUAUCAAAUCAUCUUAAAAUAGAUGAAAAAGUUAAUGUUUUUUCACUUUGCUGACAUGGCAUACAUAUUGAUUACUACGUGGAUGACACAUCAACAUUUUAUUAAUUUUUUAAAAUUUUAAAAAUUCAAAAAAUAUUUUUAAAAAUAAAAAAUCAUUAAAAUUAUUUUAAAAUUUUUAAAAAAUUAAUUAAAUACUAACAUGUCAUCCACAUGUAUGCAAAAACAACAAAAUUAACAAACAUAUUUAAAUGGAAGACUAAAAUUACUAUUUUAUUUUAUAAAAUUGGAAACCAAAAAUUUCAUUAUACCUAAAAAAAAUUCUUUUCUUCAACUAAAUAUAAAUUUUAUUAAUGAAAAACGAAGUAGACUGAAAGAGAUCCUUGGUUUGAGGGGACUUUAACCUCUUAUUCAAUAAUUCUUUAUUGAAUAUAAUGCCCUAAUCUAAUAGCUUAUAAUCCACAACACGAGACCGGAUAACAAAGCACUCUUUAACACUAAUAUAGAAACUAAUGCAAAUCAACAUAAAAGCUCAACCACCAACCAAUCAACAUUUUUAAGUAAUCCAAAUAAAAUAAAUAACUAUAUUCAGUAACAGACUCAGAAAUUUUUUGGAGGGGUUGGGGAAUAAAUUGUAUAUUUUUAUAAUAGUGAAAAUGUAAUUUUAUCAUUUUAUAGUAUAUAUCUUUAUAAUUUUUGUUAUUUUUUAGAGGGUAAAGUAUAAUUUUACUGUUGCCAAUUUAAAGUUAUAUAAAUUAUAAAGAGUUUAAAUGGAAAAUUAUCCAUUUUAGGAGGUCAAGGCCAUAUAUCACCAACUUGGUUAAAUGUAAAGAUUAGUGCACCAAAAAAACAAUAAUAUCCCUUUCAUUAAUAAAUUUAUAAACUUCCUUUAUAAAUAAAUUCAUUUAACUUGGACUCAAUUGUAUAACCUUCACAAUAUUCUUUUCUUUCCCUAUCCUAUCGAACAACAAUUAAAAUCUCUAAUAUUUAUCACCCGAAUGAAUCUCAUUUGAUAGUUAGUCGUGCUUAAUAAUAUUUAAAUUCGUGAUAAAUAUAUUUAAAUAAAAUCUAAAUUAAUUUUUUAUUAUAAUUAAUAAUGAGCAUGUAUAACAAUUAUCUAAAUAAGUACUACUUUAAGAUGUAAUUAUAAUUUAAAAAUUACCAAGUAUAUAUGUUGUGCAGUAUUUACAAUUUUAAAAUAGUUGCUUCAUGGAUUUUAUUAAUUAGUGCAUUAAUAAAUCAACCACAAAGCUCAGCUUAUUUGUGAUUUGCACAUGAGAAUUAUUCAAAAGCUAUCAUAUCUAAAUUAACAUGCCAGUUUUGGCAAAGCUAGUAAAAUCUCAUUGAUGGCAAAAAGUAAGGGUAAAUUCGAAAUUUUCUUCAAUUUAGCUGGUAGCCUAUUUAAGUCUCUUGCUUCAUCAUCACUUCUCUCAACGACACAUGCAAUGGUAGCUAUGGUCCCAAGUUUAGGUCAUUAAUAAAUAAAUAAAAUAUCUUACAAAUUUUAGUCUAUGCUUUAUGCUCCAUAAGCUGAAAUUUUGAAUUUAUUUAAGUUUAUAAUAUUAUUAGGAAAAAUAAUCACAAUCGUCUAAUAUGAAUCAUAAAAGUGGAUAUAAAAAAAAUUGACAGUAAUGAAAAAGCAAUUCAACAUAUAGGACAAUUGAAGUCAUUAGUUGGUUGAUUCACGUGAAGAUGUCAACUUUGUAUACAAAACUAUGCAAGGAUGUGAGAAAGUUGAGACUUAUAAGAUUUAAUUUAAUAUUUGUAAGGACUGAUUUGAUAGUUGUAUGCUGCUUUGUAAUGAACAUUUUUGUAAUUCAACCAGAAAUCAUGUAUAAGCAAAGCAAAGAUUAUAUUUAUGAAAGUGAGUAAGUAGGUUUAAACAGACAGCCUGUUUGUAGUUGAGAACUCAUUGAAUGAAAGAUAAUGUCAUUUGCACGAUGAAGCUGGCGUGGCACACAUUUCUUUUUCAAACCAUAUAACAGCAAAAGGGGAGGGGGGUCCCCAAUUCAUGUGAGGCUUUAAGUGAGGUGUCGGUGAGGCUUUGCAUUUGAUUCCCUUUAAGAUCAUUAUAUAAUAAAGCCUCUGUAUAUGCAAUCUGAUCAUCAUCACUCAAAGAUUAUUUUGUUAUGUGCUUGGCAGCUGCAAAUAAGCUGAUAUUAUUUUGAUUUGGGUUCCUAAAUCGUUGGGAGGAGGGACUGUAAAAAAGCAUAGGUUCCCCAUGCAGAUCCUCCCGUUUCGAGGAGGCGCACUUGUGUGCUUCAUUGCUUCCUUGUUAUUUGUUGCCAGUUUUUGCAAUGCCGAUGCUAAAACAGUCGAGGUUGUCGGGGCUGGUGAGUGUGCAGAUUGUGCAGAGAAUAACUUGGAGAUUAGCCAGGCUUUCUCAGGUACGUACUUUGAUCACCUACUCAUGCAUGCAUGCAUAUAUUGAGCUCGAGUAGGACUACGGGACAGCAUUAUUUUUGUAUUAUGUAGGGUUACUUUAACACUGAUGAUAUCCAUAAUAUUAUUGUUAUUAAUUUGUGUUUCUUUUUACAGGGCUACGAGUAAACAUAGACUGCAAGCCCGAAAAUGGGAAGAACUUCAAAACACGAGGAUCAGGGGAGCUUGAUAAACAAGGCAAUUUUAAAGUAUUCGUUCCAGAGGAUUUGGUUGAAAAUGGGGAACUGAAGGAAGAAUGCUAUGCACAGCUUCACAGUGUAUCGGCAGCACCUUGUCCCGCCCAUGAUGGCUUGGAGUCGGCCAAGUUAGUGUUGAAGUCCAGUAGUGAUGGGAAACACGAGUUUGGGUUAAAAGGAAAGCUCAGAUUCUCACCUCUAACCUGUGCUUCUGCCUUCUUUUGGCCUCACUUUAAGUUUCCUCCCAUGCCUAAGUGGAACCAUCCCCCUUUGCCCAAGUUUCCACUUCCCCCAUUCAAAGGCUUCCACCACCAUUAUCCAAUAAUCCCUCCCAUCUACAAGAAACCUCUUCCGCCACCGUCCCCGGUGUACAAGCCCCCUCCAGUUCCCGUAAACCCACCUGUUCCAAUCUAUAAACCUCCACCAGUUCCAGUCUAUAAACCUCCUCCAGUUCCAGUAAAACCACUUCCUCCACCUGUUCCGAUCUACAAACCUCCACCAGUUGAAAAACCACAUCCUCCACCUGUUCCAAUCUACAAACCUCCACCAGUUGAAAAACCACAUCCUCCACCUGUUCCAAUCUACAAACCUCCACCAGUUGAAAAACCACAUCCUCCACCUGUUCCAGUUUAUAAACCUCCACCAGUUGAAAAACCACAUCCUCCACCUGUUCCAGUCUAUAAACCUCCACCAGUUCCAGUAUAUAAGAAACCAUGUCCUCCACCAGUUCCAGUCUAUAAAUCUCCUCCGGUUCCAGUAUACAAGAAACCGCAUCCUCCUCCAGUUCCAGUCUAUAAGAAACCACAUCCACCUCCAGUUCCAGUAUACAAGAAACCAUGUCCUCCCCCAGUUCCAGUCUAUAAAUCUCCUCCAGUUCCGGAACCACAUCCUCCGCCAGUUCCAGUCCAUAAGCCUCCUCCAGUUCCGGUAUACAAGAAACGAGUCCCUCCUCCGGUUCCAAUCUACAAGCCCCCUCCAGUUCCUGUAUACAACAAACCACUACCUCCCCGGGUUCCAGUGUAUACGAAGCCACUUCCACCACCUGUUCCAACCUACAAUCCAAAACCCCUCCCUCCCAUUCCUUACAAGCCACUCCCUCCACUUCCCAAGAUCCCUCCAUUCCCUAAGAAGCCAUGCCCUCCCCUUCCUAAGCUACCUCCUCUUCCCAAGAUUCCUCCCAAGUAUUUCCACCACCACCCUCCUCUUCCUAAGCUGCCUCCUCUCCCUAAGAUUCCUCCCAAGUAUUUCCACCACCACCCCAAGUUCGGAAAAUGGCCUCCUUUGCCACCCUUUGCUCCCCAUCAUCCUUAAGCUAUCUUGCAUUGUUUUACGCAUUUAAUGAAGGUGGUUAGUGUGAACAAGUUCCCCAGCAGUACCUCAUGCAAUAAAUGUAGCAACAAAAGAAG
rnacentral:lncRNA from 1 species